rnacentral:pre_miRNA from 13 species
UGGAAACUAAAGGCACAUAUCACCCAAACAGUAGCAUUUUCCUGUGUAUUUUUCUGCAAAGUGCUACUGGUUUGGGCAAUGUUUACCU